GGGAGUUUUACCCCAGGUGACCUUUUUCUAAAAGUUGUUAACUUAAUUUUAAGAAAAUCUCUGGUAUAAAUAGAUCAGGCUCAGUAUAGCCUAAUGAUAGACCCUUAUAUUUUAGCUUGAAUUGAUUUAUUUAAUGAAAGUAUGCUAGAUUAAUUACUGUGUAUGUCAUUAGCAAUGGCCAAUGUUAUGUAAAAAAGAUUAUUUAUUCUUUUCUCUCUCUCUCUCUCUCUCUCUCCUGGGAACAAGUUAAAGAUAAAACGCCAGUUGUUAAGAAGUUAAAAUUUGCAUGAAAUAUUUUGAGAUAACCAAGAUAUUAAAAUGUAAAAAAAAAAAAACCUUUUUAUAAUUUCAUGGGUUCUGAAUGUUUUAAAAGCAGUUGAAAAGUAAUUCUUAUAGAGUGGCGAAGUCACGCCCUUCAGUUUCCAGUACAUGGGACCUCAGUUGCGAAUUAUUAUGAAUAGCGUCAAUGGAGAGAUAACAAAUAUUUUCUGGUCCCGUUUGAAUUGUGCUAUGAAUUUCACAUAUGUUGUUUGUGGUUUUUAAAGAUAAUUUUCCAUGCAAAGAUUACUACAAUUUAGCGCGAAGACGCUUGAUAAUGUUAGGUUUUGUGUGAGGCCGCUUUGUGAACUACAGCCCUUCGCCGCUCUCGACGCGAAUGAUGUACGUCACCACCCGCUCUCUGGUGAUCUCUCUGCACUACUUCACCGCUUUUUUCCAAGGGGAGGAUAACAGCCUAGAAAGAGGCGAACAUCAUUAUAAGUCGGGGCAUGUAGAGAGCUGCAGCCAUGCCGAUGGGGAGAUGGUCGGUCUUGUCCACGCGAGUCGCAGGGAGCAUCGUUAUAAGGUUUCGACUCGUGCCAGGACAGUGAAGACAUGACCCUCACUGUGAGCUUCAGCAUGGUCCCUUCAAGCGGUGUGCCUGAAGAUGGCUCUGAGGAGUAUUGUUUUCUCACUCUUCUGGAGACGUCAGCAAAUAUCUCAUAAGAUGGACAUAUCAUGUGCGACAUGUACAAGACACUUUGUUCUGCCAGUCUUUUGUCCUACACUGUAAUUAUAUCUUUGCAAUUAGGCUUAAUAUCAUAGUUAAGCCAUUGAAACAUCAGGUAAGAUUUUUACAAAUGAGUGUGUGUGGUGAUAAAAUAUAAAAUCACACUCACAGCCCAUACAAUUUAUCUGACAUGAAUAUUGAACUUGAGGAUUUGAAUAAAAUCUAAGUUAUAAACACUAAUCUAGGUAAAUGACUGUCAUCUUUCACAUGGGGAAUAA
rnacentral:lncRNA from 1 species